rnacentral:rRNA from 1 species
GUCUACGGCCACGCCACUCUGAACACACUCGAUCCCGUCUGAUCGCGGACGCUAAGCAGGGUCAGGCCUGGUUAGUGCUUGGAUGGGAGACCACCUAGGAAGACCAGGUGCUGUAGGCA